GUUAUUUUAUAUUCUUCAUUGAAAAAUACAAAAUUACAAGUGCACAGAGUGAGGUAAGACGCAAAGAAGAAGAAGAAACAACGAGAAAUAGUACCCAUGUAAAAAACAAAACAGAACAAAGCUCUCCAGUCAUGAGUCAGAGAGAGAACUGAGUCAGAUGCCCCCAAGAUGAAACAAGCUAUUUCCUGGAAACAAGCGUUUCCUUUGCUUAGAUAUCGCUCCCAAAUGGGCAAAGAUGAUAGCCCAGCCUUGCCCUACAACCAUGAGUCUCAGAAGACUCUGGUAAGUGGGGUGGUUGUGAUAAAUUAAUAGCAGCCAUCGAGAGCCCUUUCUUCCUCCAUGAAUUGUCUAGUCUUCUUUGAAAGCCAUCUAGGCAGGAGCAAGUUCCAUCGAUUGACUAUGUUCCUCAAAGACCUUUCUUAAAGUUCUGUGACGUCCAUUCUUGCUGGCAACGCGCACCCGCCAUUUUAUGAAACCGGUAAAAUCCUGGUGCUGAUCCUUGAGAGGAAACUGGCCACCCUCUCGCAGACGAGGAAUGGCGAGUCUCUGAGGCUUACGCCCAUUCUCGAGCCGCUCCAUCAUGGCUCCCACACGGAGCAAUUAAUGCUAUCGCAAGAUCAGCGAGGCAGCGGCCCCCAAGUACUUUCACACCAUAAAUAAGAAAAUAAUUAAACAUUAGAAAACACUUAUCGACCGUAUCACGCUCUGCGGAAAAAAAGAAGAACGACGGCGGAAAAGGGCUGUGAAAACAUUAGCCGACGAAUCGUGAGCUGAUUUCUCUGCGCUUAACAGCAUGGAGAAAUUUUUGCUCCGUGAGUAAACUUUAUUUUCCGCUGCCAAGAGCUACAAAAGGCUCCAUUACCAGCUCUGCAUGAGGAGUUCGGAAUGGAGCAGCUUCUGAGGCAAUUUAGGCUCACGUGUCACUUUGGCAAUAAAGCAGGAGGGAGCAGGCCUCAUUGCAAGGGACCCGGAGGGUUUUGGUGUCUGGUACCUCAGCGGGUCGAGGGACCGUUUCUGAGGUAAUGCACCUUUGCUUCUCUUUCCUGCCCCUUUCCAAGCUGCUCUUCUCUGAGAGGAUUCAGGCAUUUUAUGCACCAAAGUUGAGGCACUGGCAUCCCUCGGGCACGGGUCGUAGCUUUGUGAUCGGCUUUCCAGAUGUCAGGAGUUUGGGUCUGGAGACGACAGCCUGUUUCUCAAAGUUUAGGAACAAUUGGCACUUUGUGACAGACCUUCAUUAAGGGGCACUGUGUGGUACGAAACCAGCGGGAGGAAUUCCAUUUUUUAUUCUGUUUCCUCGGCCUCACGCCGUGGAUUUGCUGGUCACUUCAACUUCUGCUCAGUUUCAUUUGUGUUUCCUUCCCUUAAUAGCUCAUCACAGUGGUGGGCAAGCCUGCAGGCCCCGAAAUGCUGUUGGCCGCUGUAAUGUUCCCUGUUGAAUGAUGAGCCCGUUGGAGAAGUUGAACAAGAAAUACUUUUUAUUAAAG